rnacentral:rRNA from 1 species
GGAGGGGCGAGCGUUAUUCGGAAUUAUUGGGCGUAAAGGGCGCGUAGGCGGCCCGCUAAGUCAAAGGUGAAAUCCCUCGGCUCAACUGAGGAACUGCCUUCGAAACUGUCGGGCUCGAGGCCGGGAGGGGGUAGCGGAAUUCCCAGUGUAGCGGUGAAAUGCGUAGAUAUUGGGAGGAACACCGGUGGCGAAGGCGGCUACCUGGACCGGAUCUGACGCUGAUGCGCGAAAGCGUGGGUAGCAAACAGGAUUAGAUACCCUGGUAGUCCACGCUGUAAACGAUGGGUGCUCGGUGUCGCGGGUAUCGACCCCUGCGGUGCCUUAGCUAACGCGUUAAGCACCCCGCCUGGGGAGUACGGUCGCAAGGCUG